CGCGGGUCGUGGGGAGCGCCACU
rnacentral:miRNA from 10 species